rnacentral:Y_RNA from 1 species
GGCGGGUCUGAGUGCACUGGUGUUUACAACCAACUGAUCACAACCAGUUCCUUCUCUACCCCCACUGUUUCACCUGACUAACCUAAA